rnacentral:rRNA from 1 species
AGCGAGCUUGCCUAGAUGAUUUUAGUGCUUGCACUAAAUGAAACUAGAUACAAGCGAGCGGCGGACGGGUGAGUAACACGUGGGUAACCUGCCCAAGAGACUGGGAUAACACCUGGAAACAGAUGCUAAUACCGGAUAACAACACUAGACGCAUGUCUAGAGUUUGAAAGAUGGUUCUGCUAUCACUCUUGGAUGGACCUGCGGUGCAUUAGCUAGUUGGUAAGGUAACGGCUUACCAAGGCAAUGAUGCAUAGCCGAGUUGAGAGACUGAUCGGCCACAUUGGGACUGAGACACGGCCCAAACUCCUACGGGAGGCAGCAGUAGGGAAUCUUCCACAAUGGACGAAAGUCUGAUGGAGCAACGCCGCGUGAGUGAAGAAGGGUUUCGGCUCGUAAAGCUCUGUUGGUAGUGAAGAAAGAUAGAGGUAGUAACUGGCCUUUAUUUGACGGUAAUUACUUAGAAAGUCACGGCUAACUACGUGCCAGCAGCCGCGGUAAUACGUAGGUGGCAAGCGUUGUCCGGAUUUAUUGGGCGUAAAGCGAGUGCAGGCGGUUCAAUAAGUCUGAUGUGAAAGCCUUCGGCUCAACCGGAGAAUUGCAUCAGAAACUGUUGAACUUGAGUGCAGAAGAGGAGAGUGGAACUCCAUGUGUAGCGGUGGAAUGCGUAGAUAUAUGGAAGAACACCAGUGGCGAAGGCGGCUCUCUGGUCUGCAACUGACGCUGAGGCUCGAAAGCAUGGGUAGCGAACAGGAUUAGAUACCCUGGUAGUCCAUGCCGUAAACGAUGAGUGCUAAGUGUUGGGAGGUUUCCGCCUCUCAGUGCUGCAGCUAACGCAUUAAGCACUCCGCCUGGGGAGUACGACCGCAAGGUUGAAACUCAAAGGAAUUGACGGGGGCCCGCACAAGCGGUGGAGCAUGUGGUUUAAUUCGAAGCAACGCGAAGAACCUUACCAGGUCUUGACAUCCAGUGCAAACCUAAGAGAUUAGGUGUUCCCUUCGGGGACGCUGAGACAGGUGGUGCAUGGCUGUCGUCAGCUCGUGUCGUGAGAUGUUGGGUUAAGUCCCGCAACGAGCGCAACCCUUGUCAUUAGUUGCCAUCAUUAAGUUGGGCACUCUAAUGAGACUGCCGGUGACAAACCGGAGGAAGGUGGGGAUGACGUCAAGUCAUCAUGCCCCUUAUGACCUGGGCUACACACGUGCUACAAUGGACGGUACAACGAGAAGCGAACCUGCGAAGGCAAGCGGAUCUCUUAAAGCCGUUCUCAGUUCGGACUGUAGGCUGCAACUCGCCUACCCGAAGCUGGAAUCGCUAGUAAUC